rnacentral:SRP_RNA from 1 species
AGUUUGUGGUCGGGCAACGGGAGGCCGUGAACCCCGCCAGGUCCGGAAGGAAGCAACGGUAGCGAUCCCUUUCGUGUGCUCGACCAUCCCAUCGAAA